GGAAGAGUGAUGGAGGAGCUCUGGUGGAGAACAGGAAGUGUGCUCAGACAACUCAGGACUGGUCUUUCUUACCAUGGCUCUGCAUACUUGGCCAAGAAUGUACUUGAAACCUACUUUUGAAGCUGCCCUGACACAACUAAGACAACAUGGCUGGGCUGCUAUAAUCCCAACUCAUGGAUGAGGAUUGUCUCCAUGUGAGCUUACUUCUGAAGACUGAACUCUGGGAGGCAGAGAUGCUGCUCAGCUGAUUGGCAAUGGAAAAACACUCAGCAGCCAACUCGGAGUAUGUUGGGUGAUAAGUGCAUUUGAGCUGCUGCUAAGAGACUACAAGGUGUGUGAGAGAUGGACUCACCCAACGGGGGCACUUGUUCAUCCUUUGCUUUUCAGUGAGGUAGUGCCUCUUCCACACCAACUGGAUGCUUCUGUUCCUUUUAAUGACUCUUAGCGCUUCAAGCAGAUGUGGUCCACCUUUUUCACCCUGAUAGGAAGCUGCCUGGUGUGUCUUGUUGGGCUUACCAAGAAUUCCAGACCCCUACGGAGCAGCGUUGUGUUGAGUCACGUGCCUGAAAACCUCUACCAAUAUCUCUCAGAUCUUGCAUUUUGUCACUUCUUUACCCCCAAUGGCUUGUUGUCUGACAUCACUUAAUGCGCCGAAACAGACUGCAAAAGAAUUGCUUCUAGAUGCAAAUUUGCCCCAGGCCCAUUGAACUUUAUGCCACGGCUUCAAGUUUAAUAAGAAACCAUCUUCAUUAGGACUGAAAAUGACUUCCAGUUUCUCCCAGUCCAACAGCUGCUUAGCUUCACUCUGGCUGCCAGUUGCACACACCUGCGUGUUGCAGCUGUGCGAGCUGCUAAAACACACUACGGACAGCCUAGGGUAGCCAACACCUGGAAAGCAUAAAGUAUUUACAAUUCGGAACAAGAACAAAACUCCCUCAAUAAAAAUACUUGUAGGUGAUCUGUAGUCUUUCAAGUGGUUGAUGCAGAAAACAUUUUUUUUUUUCCUUCUGAUCACCGGGCUGGGGGGAAGAUGGAAAGCUAAUUUGUUAGCAUGUCUGAUGCGUGUUUUGGGGGUGGUGGAGGUGAGUGCCCACCAGCUCUGUGCUUGGAAGAGCAGCAGACAGAGCUGUUUUGGCAGACAGGAAUUCAUUAGG
rnacentral:lncRNA from 7 species